CCAAGGUUACACCUGCAGGUCAAUGGCAGAACCAGGAUUAGAGUCCAAAUUUCCUGACUCCACAGUGCCUCCUCAACUGCAUUUAGGCCAGAAUGUAGUGAAAGUUUAGUAACUUUUGGUUCCUGUGUGGAUGAAUUCUAUGGCCUGGGUUCAACCCCAAGAAGGUCCCAUCUCUGGCACCAGCCCUAAUGGCGCGCUUUGUUACUAAGCUGGGUCACUGGCAAGAUCCUGGAGACAGAGUUGGCCUUUUAAAUAUCCUUAGCCCAGAUCAUUUAGCACUUUGGACAAUAACAAAGCAGGGCUCUAUGAGACGUCGGUGUAUGCGGGGAAGCCCCGGUGUGCUGUGCUUUUGGCAGUCCAUGUUGCUGAAAUUGUGCUGUUCCAUUCUGCACUAGUUGCAGUUUUCUUAUGGCUGAUUCAAGCCCAAGUAAACUAUGCUGCCAUAAUCCAUCUGGGAGGUGAUGGUGGGCCUGAGUAUUGUGCCACAGUGUUUAACCAAUUAGCAAUGGUAAAAGGUGGGUGCUGCCAAAUGAAAGCCCAGCUUCAGCUAAGAGUCCAGAACUGCUAAACUGCAGGCUACUUUGAGCUGUUUGGGUGGCAUAUAAACCAGGGAGAAAUAACUAUUUUACUUUGCUAAGUGUAGUAAAGCAGCAUGAUAGGGUUAACUGGGUUAGCCAGAAUACUGUGAGGUAGUCAUGGUUCAGUUUUUGUGGAAGUUACAGAGAGUGAGUGAGUUAUGAUGCAAUUAAAUAGAGCAGCAAGUUCCCAGCCUGUAGUCCUGUGAGCAGACUUGGUUUUGUUGCACUGAGUGUUCCGUUACAAACAUAUGUCCCUAAAAUAAAUUCAGGCCUAAAUUCCCAAGGUGUGGGCCAUCUGCAGCUCCCAUUGAAUCAACAGGAGCUGGAAGUGCUCGGCACCAAUGAAAAUCAGGCCAUCAGCUUGUAAAAUGACCUUGACGAGGAAAUGCACCCUAGCUGAUAAAGCCACAGAUAAGAAGCUGGGAUCUUGGGUUCUAAUCUCAGCUGUUUAGUUACUGACUCCCUGUGCAACCUUGGUAAGUCAUUUGACUUUCUGUACCAUGGUCUGCUCACUAGGGAAACUAGGUAAAACAGAGGAUCUCACUGAUGACCAGGAGCUGCAGCUGACCUGACCUUUGCAUGAAAAGCUGUGUGCCUACACUUGCCAUUGAAGUCCACGGGGCGUGCAGAAGCUGAGCACCUUUGAAACUCUGGCCACAUCUAUUAAGGAUCUUUCAUCCUUUUGGAUCUCGAUCUAUCUAGCAAUCAUGACAAAUAGCCUCCGGGCUUCAUUCCCACUAGUUACAGAGCUGAUGAUUCUGGGAUUUAAUUGGGUAAUGUGGAGGGCUGACAGACACCUUUCAAGAAUGUAAAUUGCUCACCUGUGAUGGAAGACAAGGUAAUUUGCAUGAAAAUGCCAAGUGCUCUUUGUAAAGGAGGGGAGUGCAUGUUUA